GGGGGAGUCACUAGUGGCAUGGUUGUCAUGGCAACAGCUGCCUUUGCUAACUGAUUUUCCCCAGACAACCAUGAUACCAUUACAAAGAAGGGUCCGAGGAGGAGCUGCAGUGAGAGCAGUCUGGGGUUGGAUAAGUUCCUGCUUCACUCAUUUGGGUUUGUAUUGGGGGUUUCCUGUGAUGCCUUCUAACAGCUGUUAUGUGACUUAUGAGUUUCCAAUGGUUCUCACACUCCAGCAACCAGUAGGUCCUGAGGCUACAUCUAGAUGGAAAAAUGGUAAAGGUGAUCUGAUGUGACGCUGAUACAAUGUUGCGCAAGAGCUGGCAACAGCGAAAGAGUGUCCUGAAAUCCCUUCUUCUCCAGAACUAAGACACCUCUGCACCACCCUGAGCCAGCUGCACCAAAAAUGACUGGGAGGAAAGAGCACCAGAGCCCUUUUUCUUUGCCAAGUGUGUAGCAUUGUGACUGGGCAUACAAACCCUCCCUUGGGAAAGAAGGUAUUGUCUGGUCUGCUGGUUAUAUAUUAAUUAUAAUAAUUAAGAAUUCCCAAAUAACACUGUGUAGUUUGGCAGGGUCUCGUCCCAAGAUCGGGCCCAGAGUUAUUAGAAUUACUUAUCUUGAGAAAUCUGAUGUGCACAGGAGCAAUACCCACACUUAGGAAAAGCCUUUUGCAUUUGCAUUAGUUUUAUUAACAUAGUUAGCAAAAUUGCAAACACUACAACCCAGCAAAGAACCUAGAGGUAAUAUACAAUGAGCAUCCAUAAUCUCUUACCAUCUCUUGUGGAGAAGUGGUAGUCACUAUCUUCUUCAUCGUCAUCACCAUCAUGUAUCAUGCCGGUAUGUCUCAAGGCAUGCAAGCUGGGAUACAACUUUUAUA
rnacentral:lncRNA from 1 species